AUUGAACGCUGGCGGCAUGCCUUACACAUGCAAGUCGAACGGCAGCACGGGCUUCGGCCUGGUGGCGAGUGGCGAACGGGUGAGUAAUACAUCGGAACGUGCCCUGUAGUGGGGGAUAACUAGUCGAAAGAUUAGCUAAUACCGCAUACGACCUGAGGGUGAAAGCGGGGGACCGCAAGGCCUCGCGCUACAGGAGCGGCCGAUGUCUGAUUAGCUAGUUGGUGGGGUAAAAGCCUACCAAGGCGACGAUCAGUAGCUGGUCUGAGAGGACGAUCAGCCACACUGGGACUGAGACACGGCCCAGACUCCUACGGGAGGCAGCAGUGGGGAAUUUUGGACAAUGGGGGCAACCCUGAUCCAGCAAUGCCGCGUGUGUCAAGAAGGCCUUCGGGUUGUAAAGCACUUUUGUCCGGAAAGAAAUGGCUCUGGUUAAUACCCGGGGUCGAUGACGGUACCGGAAGAAUAAGCACCGGCUAACUACGUGCCAGCCGCCGCCGUAA
rnacentral:rRNA from 1 species